GGGCAGCACAGCCCCAGGCCCUGCAGGGGGACCCCGAAACAGACGGACAAAAAAUGGCGUCCAACCUGAGCCUCAGUUUAUAUCAGAAACCCUAUUUAUAGCUGGAUCCAUUGUGGCUCCUCAGUACUUUGUAGCCUGCUGAGAUGUUCUUGACAGGAACCGCUUCCUCUCCCUCGCCCAGCGCACCGGCAUUGAGAGGCACUUCAGCUACUUUUUCAACAUCACAACAUGUUGGUGCCAGUGGCUCACUGGUCUGACUAUUGAUCCAAGUCACCACAUCAAGGUCCCAUCCCCUCUGCAUGACUGGCCCUCACUGACAAGUGGAAAUCACAGAGAUCCUACUGGCAAAAGAUGGAAAGUGAAGAAGACUUCAGAAACGUGUACCCUACAGCUAUCAGUGUCCUGAACUCCAGAAUGAAGACACCAAGCGCAUCUCCUCCACUAUAUACUAUAAAAACUGGUGAGAACAUGUUCAC